rnacentral:rRNA from 1 species
UAGGGAAUAUUGCAUAAUGGGCGAAAGCCUGAUGCAGCAACGCCGCGUGUGCGAUGAAGGCCUUCGGGUCGUAAAGCACUUUUGAAGGGGAUGAGGAAGGACAGUACCCUUCGAAUAAGCUUCGGCUAACUACGUGCCAGCAGCCGCGGUAAAACGUAGGAAGCGAGCGUUAUCCGGAUUUACUGGGUGUAAAGCGCGUGUAGGCGGUUGGGAAAGUUGGAUGUGAAAGCUCCUGGCUUAACUGGGAGAGGUCGUACAAUACUACCUGACUAGAGGAUGGGAGAGGGAGGCGGAAUUCCGGGUGUAGUGGUGAAAUGCGUAGAUAUCCGGAGGAACACCAGUGGCGAAAGCGGCCUCCUGGCCCAUAACUGACGCUCAGACGCGAAAGCUAGGGGAGCGAACGGG